rnacentral:tRNA from 1 species
AAGAAAUUAGUUAAUAAAUAACAUUAGUAUGUCAUACUGAAAUAAUUAAAUCUUAAUAUUUCUUU